CCAUUACUAAAUCCAAAAUCUCUUCUAAGUGGUUGCAAUUGUUAACCAGAUCAUGCACCCAAGGGUCCAAAGAAGUGGUUCAGCUAAAUUUAGCAACCGAUACUGCACCCAAGCCAAUGUUUGGUCUUACAGUCUUCCACAAGGACCACAACAGAUGAAGGAAUUCAAAGAGUUUGAUUAUUUGCUCUCUCCUUCCUUCACUUAGAUGAUGAUAUCAUCAUAAAUUUGUUUGCUGUGGCUGCUCAUCCAUUUAUAUUCUCUUCAAUUCUGCAACAUAUAUACUAUAUUCAUUACUGACUGGGUAUGAUGGUUGUUUGAGUUUGAAGUGAUUUCCAGUCAGUAGUUUUUAUCAACAUGGGAACAGAUUCAGUUAAAUCCUAACUGUUUGAUAAAAUGCCUGACAGAGAUUAAAGAGCUUAUCAACAACAAAGCUAAUGUCACUCUGAAGGCUGCUGUUGCUGCUAACAGCUUCAAGAGGAAAACUUUCAUUUAUGCAAACAGUUCCGUCUUUAGAGGGUUCUUAUCAGUUAUUUUGUUGUGUUGGGUUAAUGUAAAAAUUGAAUUUGUUAGAAAGGCUAGAAAAUGAACUUGAAUUAUUAUCUGUUGUUAUAGCUUUAGGAAAUGGAGGUUGCAAACUGUCAACGACAACCCUAAGGUGAACUGUUCAGAUAGCCAUUUACAUGUAAGCGUGUUGGUCAUUCUGCAGUCAAGUGGUUCUUUAGAUACACUACUCCAAAAUAGUGACAAGCCUCUGUAGCAAGCUUUUUCUGCCUAUACAUUUUUGAUGCAGCGUUAUGAAAUCAAGGAUCUCAAGACUGACAGGCUUCUUACUAGAGAAAAGGUUAGGACAUCUUUCUCACACUGUUCUUCCCAAGCUUCAGUCCAAAGGAUUAAUUCAAUUAUCAUCUUCUUCUUCUGAGGAUGAUUGUGCCACUCACAUCAGUUACGUGGCAGAUAUCUUUACUAAAGGACUUUUACUUCACCAGUUUUCUGUGGUUUUCAGUCCAUGUUUCUGCUUAGCUUGAGGGGAGUAUUAUUAACUGAACAAAUCUCUUCUUUUGUGUUGUUUUAAAUCUGUCCAUUCAAUUGUGUGUUUGCUCAGUUUGUCAAGGGUCUGUUGAGGUUUGUUGUAAUGGUUAUCUGUUCUCUUGUCCUUUCUUUUAGUGACUUAUGUUUUGGUCUCCUGUCUCUUAUAAAAGCUGAAUCGAGUCCUGUAUUUCGUUAUCCAAUUUCAUUUUGAUAAAAGUCUCUCAACA